rnacentral:rRNA from 1 species
UACGUAGGGUGCAAGCGUUGUCCGGAUUUAUUGGGCGUAAAGAGCUCGUAGGCGGCUUGUCGCGUCGAAUGUGAAAACUCGGGGCUCAACUCCGAGCUUGCAUUCGAUACGGGCAGGCUAGAGUUCGGUAGGGGAGACUGGAAUUCCUGGUGUAGCGGUGAAAUGCGCAGAUAUCGGGAGGAACACCGAUGGCGAAGGCAGCACUCUGGGCCGGCACUGACGCUGAGGAGCGAAAGCGUGGGGAGCGAACAGG